GACGUAGGUGGCGAACGUUAUCCGGAAUUAUUGGGCGUAAAGAGCUCGUAGGCGGUGUGUCACGUCGGCCGUGAAAACCUGCAGCUUAACUGUGGGCGUGCGGUCGAUACGGGCAUCACUGGAGUUCGGCAGGGGAGACUGGAAUUCCUGGUGUAGCGGUGAAAUGCGCAGAUAUCAGGAGGAACACCGGUGGCGAAGGCGGGUCUCUGGGCCGAUACUGACGCUGGAGGAGCGAAAGCGUGGGGAGCAAACAGG
rnacentral:rRNA from 1 species